rnacentral:tRNA from 1 species
GGGAUCAUAGCGCAGUUGGUUUAGAGCGUUUGCUUGACAGGCAAGAGGUCUGCGGUUCGAAUCCGCAUGGUCCCA